rnacentral:rRNA from 1 species
CGUGGGUAACCUGCCCAUAAGACUGGGAUAACUCCGGGAAACCGGGGCUAAUACCGGAUAAUAUUUUGAACUGCAUGGUUCGAAAUUGAAAGGCGGCUUCGGCUGUCACUUAUGGAUGGACCCGCGUCGCAUUAGCAGUUGGUGAGGUAACGGCUCACCAAGGCAACGAUGCGUAGCCGACCUGAGAGGGUGAUCGGCCACACUGGGACUGAGACACGGCCCAGACUCCUACGGGAGGCAGCAGUAGGGAAUCUUCCGCAAUGGACGAAAGUCUGACGGAGCAACGCCGCGUGAGUGAUGAAGGCUUUCGGGUCGUAAAACUCUGUUGUUAGGGAAGAACAAGUGCUAGUUGAAUAAGCUGGCACCUUGACGGUACCUAACCAGAAAGCCACGGCUAACUACGUGCCAGCAGCCGCGGUAAUACGUAGGUGGCAAGCGUUAUCCGGAAUUAUUGGGCGUAAAGCGCGCGCAGGUGGUUUCUUAAGUCUGAUGUGAAAGCCCACGGCUCAACCGUGGAAGGGUCAUUGGAAACUGGGGAGCUUGAGUGCAGAAGAAGAAAGUGGAAUUCCAUGUGUAGCGGUGAAAUGCGUACAGAUAUGGAGGAACACCAGUGGCGAAGCGACUUUCU